UGAAAUUUUUAAUAAAUCCAUAAAUUUUAUAGUUUCCUCUUUUAACCUUCGAUCAUCAUCCCUUCUUCUUUAUUUCUCCCUGUGGAUCUCAAUCUCCGGUUGGUUAUCUAUCUCCAUCGCUCUCCACCACCACCAUAUCUAUCGCCACCGCGAUUACACCACUACCUCCACUCCAACACAAUCUCUAUUUUCGCCACCAUUCCUGCACCACCUCUACUCAGCAUCAUCUCCAACAAUUAAUAUUCUUUCUCUUUUUCUUCAUCUUCUUUUCCUCCUAUUAUCUAAGCGAGUGAUAGAUUUGUUUUUUGGGUUUCGAUCUAUGUAAUUUUAAAUGAAAUGUGGAAUUCAAACCAGACGAAUUCCAAUUGAUUUGAGACGAACCCUAGAAAUCUCCAAUGGAUUUGAGACGAACCUUAGAAAGUAAUUGGUUUUAUUGAAUCUCAAGGAGUGGUGGUGGCGGUGACAAUGGUGGAGCACUAGCGUUGGUGCUUAUUUUGACGAUGAUGGUGGAUGUUGUUUGCAGUGAUGGUGGUGGUGUUGGUGUUGGUGAUAGCAGCAUUGAUUUACAGGUGGUUUGGCUCAUGAAUAUUUUCAACAUGGAAAAUUUAGGAUAAUACAGAUGCAUAUGCAUUUUGGUAUGGUACUGUUGGAGCUAAUAACAGGCCAUGAACCUAUUGAGGCAAAUAAAGCUCCAGAAGAUGGAACCUAGUCUUACAGAGACAUCUAACUUGUGGUGCAAUGGUACCACAACCGACUCCGAAGAUGCGUUUCGAUUCACAUUAGGUUCACUAAUUUAGUAGAUCAGUUUUUUGGGAUCAAUUUUGGUUGUUGACACUAGAUUUUGGGAUCAACUUUGAUUGUUGACACUAUACAUAAUUUCAACUUUUAUUUUUGGUUUAAUUGUGGUUGUUGGCACUAGAUUUUGGGGUCAACUUUGGUUGUUAACACCAUUUUUAGUAUCAACUUUGGUUAUUGGCACUAUAUAAAAUCUGACCAUUUUCUGAGUUUUUAAUUUUGGUAUCAACUUUGGUUGUUGAUACUAAAUUUUGACAUCAACUUUGGUUAUUGACAUCAUACAUAGUCUGCACGUUUUCUGAAUUUUUAAUUUUGGGGAUGAACUUCGAUAU